rnacentral:rRNA from 1 species
CAGCAGCCACGGGAACACGAAGGGUGCAAACGUUAAUCGGAACUACUGGGCGUGAAGCGUGCGUAGGCGGUGAGUUAAGUCUGCUGUGAAAUCCCCGGGCUCAACCUGGGAAUGGCAAUGGAUACUGGCAAGCUAGAGUGUGUCAGAGGAUGGUGGAAUUCCCGGUGUAGCGGUGAAAUGCGUAGAGAUCGGGAGGGACAUCAGUGGCGAAGGCGGCCAUCUGGGACAACACUGACGCUGAGGCACGAAAGCGUGGGGCGCAAACAGGAUUAGAUACCCCGGUAGUCCCUGUCUCUUAUAC